UCCCUGGUGGCUCAGAUGGUAAAGCGUCUGUCUACAAUGCAGGAGACCCGGGUUCGAGCCCUGGGUUGGGAA
rnacentral:tRNA from 1 species